GUUGUAAAACUGCUUUUAUAUGGGAGCAAUAAGGCCUUACGUGUAGGUUGAUGAGAGUCCCAUUUGAUUAAGCACCGGCUAAUUCCGUGCCAGCAGCCGCGGUAAUACGGAGGGUGCAAGCGUUAUCCGGAUUUAUUGGGUUUAAAGGGUGCGUAGGCGGUUUGAUAAGUCAGCGGUGAAAUAUUUCAGCUUAACUGGAAGGGUGCCGUUGAUACUGUCAGGCUUGAAUUUAGUUGCUGUGGGUGGACUGUGUGGUGUAGCGGUGAAAUGCAUAGAUAUCACACAGAAUAUCGAUUGCGAAGGCAGCUCACGAAGCUAACAUUGACGCUGAUGCACGAAAGUGUGGGGAUCAAACAGGAUUAGAUACCCUGGUAGUCCACACUGUAAACGAUGAUAACUCGCUGUCGGCGAUACAUAGUCGGUGGCCAAGCGAAAGCGAUUAGUUAUCCACCUGGGGAGUACGACCGCAAGGUUGAAACUCAAAGGAAUUGACGGGGGCCCGCACAAGCGGAGGAACAUGUGGUUUAAUUCGAUGAUACGCGAGGAACCUUACCCGGGCUCGAACGGUGCAUGAAUGAUUCAGAGAUGGAUCAGUCCUUCGGGACAUGUAUCGAGGUGCUGCAUGGUUGUCGUCAGCUCGUGCCGUGAGGUGUCGGCUUAAGUGCCAUAACGAGCGCAACCCUUGUCGUUAGUUACCAUCAAGUAAUGUUGGGGACUCUAGCGAGACUGCCACCGUAAGGUGUGAGGAAGGGGGGGAUGACGUCAAAUCAGCACGGCCCUUACGUCCGGGGCGACACACGUGUUACAAUGGUAGGUACAGAGGGCAGCUACCCAGUGAUGGGGUGCGAAUCUCAAAAACCUAUCUCAGUUCGGAUUGGAGUCUGCAACUCGACUCCAUGAAGUUGGAUUCGCUAGUAAUCGCGCAUCAGCCAUGGCGCGGUGAAUACGUUCCCGGGCCUUGUACACACCGCCCGUCAAGCCAUGGAAGCCGGGGGUGCCUGAAGUUCGUGACCGCAAGGAGCGACCUAGGGCAAAACUGGUAACUGGGGCUAAGUCGUAACAAGGUAGCCGUAGAAUCGA
rnacentral:rRNA from 1 species